AUUAACACACAUUUAAUCCUAAUUAACAAAUAAAAAAUUUAACUUAACUAUCAUUCAACGACUGAAACAAAGCUCUGCUAGGGUUCAAGAACUGUGAUUCCAAGGUGGUGGUUGCAGUCAGGGACGGAUGCAAGUGUUGAGGCAUGAGGAUUUUGCAAAAUAUCAUUAGAAAAAAAUUUGAGUAGUAAAAGUAUGUAGUUUUUUAUGGUCAUUUGGUAAAAAAUGCCUCACUUGUGUCUCACAUUGCUAAAUGUCCUCACUUGUGUCCCACAUUGCUAUGUGUCCUCACUUGAGUAGUAAAAGUAUGUGGUUUUUUAUGCUCAUUUAGUAAAAAGUGCUCUCACUUGUGUCACGUUUGAUAAAAAAUGUCCUCACUUCUAAUAGUAGAUGUUAAUUUUUUUUAUUACAAAUUUAUAUUUAUAUAUUGCCCUCACAACAUUAAAUUUCUGGGUCCGUCACUGGUUGCAGUUGUUUCUGGCUGUGUCGCGCUACUUGCCGAUCUCCGCCCGCUCAUGGCCGUGCUCCACCCUCCGGCCGCUGGAAGCUGUCUUGUCUCACGUUUCUCUGCUGCUCUGAAUCGUACCUUGUUUCGUGAUUCCCUUUCUGUCUCAAGGUACGAGUCUUCUUCACUUCUGUUGAGGAAUUCGUCGUCCAAACACCCUGUGCGGUGGCGGUGCAUCUUGGCGCUUCUGCUGGGUGGGGGCGAACGGGCUUUUGGAGUUUCGUCCAACGUGAUGGUGGUUCCCCUUUUUCGUUCAGCGACGUUCCGCCCUAAUCUCCUGCGGUGGUCAAGGCUGCGGAUUGGUGCUAGUGUAAGUUGUGGCUUGGUUUUCUAUUGAAGGAGAAGAUGAUGAAGAAAUUUGAUGAAGUCUUUGAUGAAGAAAUGUAUUUCUGAAAGUUUGAUGAAGAUGAAGAUGAAAUGUCUAAUUUGUUUUAAA